GCGGACAUAGCUCAGCGGCUAGAGCACAAGCUUGCCAUGCUUGGGGUCGUGGGUUCGAAUCCCAUUGUCCGCUCCA
rnacentral:tRNA from 1 species